rnacentral:rRNA from 1 species
AGUGAACGCUGGCGGUAGGCCUAACACAUGCAAGUCGAACGGCAGCACAGUAAGAGCUUGCUCUUACGGGUGGCGAGUGGCGGACGGGUGAGGAAUACAUCGGAAUCUACUUUUUCGUGGGGGAUAACGUAGGGAAACUUACGCUAAUACCGCAUACGACCUACGGGUGAAAGCAGGGGAUCUUCGGACCUUGCGCGAUUGAAUGAGCCGAUGUCGGAUUGGCUAGUUGGCGGGGUAAGGGCCCACCAAGGCAACGAUCCGUAGCUGGUCUGAGAGGAUGAUCAGCCACACUGGAACUGAGACACGGUCCAGACUCCUACGGGAGGCAGCAGUGGGGAAUAUUGGACAAUGGGCGCAAGCCUGAUCCAGCCAUACCGCGUGGGUGAAGAAGGCCUUCGGGUUGUAAAGCCCUUUUGUUGGGAAAGAAAAGCAGCAGGUUAAUACCCCGCUGUUCUGACGGUACCCAAAGAAUAAGCACCGGCUAACUUCGU